rnacentral:lncRNA from 1 species
AUGCUACGGGGGCUCGGUCUCUGCUUGGCUGCAGCCCAAGAGCAAAGCCGCAGUCAGCAGCGUGAUCUGGUAACGUUCCCUGCACACCAGCAAACCCUCAGCACAGCAGGCCCAGCCCCCUGCAGGGCCUGCAGCCGCCCCCGGGGGAUUAAGGGGCUCAAGCCAGCCAACGAGGGAAGCAAUGCCCUGGCUCCAAGAGCGGCAAGGGCCCUACAAGGGCACCGAAUGGAGCUGCCUGGGGACUGGCCCAGUCACUGCCUUUGGACAAGCUGCAAAAGCCAGACUCCUCCGUGGGCUGCUCCAAGUGCCAGCCGCGCCCCAGCUAACCAGGGAAUCCGAACGCGCCUGGAUAAAUGCCUCAUCCCUGCAGGAUGGAUCAGGAAAUCGGUGGGUGGGGGUGAUCCUUUCUCAUUUAAACCCUAAGCAUGCAAGAUAGCUGCCUGGUGCAUUUCAUCUGCCGGACCCCCACGCACGCAGCUCAGAGCAGCUGGCUGCCUGGCUAGCAGGGCUGCCCCAAGCUCCCAGGGAAGGGAAGUACCUCGCCCAACUGCAGGUUCGGAAGAAACGUGCAAGUCGUAAUAGCCAGGGCCAGGAUGCCGGGGAUCCUUCCGUGACCAGCUCUCCCAGCGCAGCUUGGGGGAUGCUAGUUCGGUGUUGGAUUGAGAGAACGCCACCGACUGAAAUCACCACCCCCGCUUCCUGCGGCGUUAAGGACGACUGCUCCUUGGGGGCCUCCCAUCCCAGCAGCGACCAGGCCUGCCCCGGCUUAGCUCCAAGGGGUGCCUUAGGUGCAGAGCAAUGCGGAGAGGGGACAGGAGUUUGGCUGGAGCGGUUCCUGUGCUGGGCACCUCCCCCAUGGCCUAGGCAAGGGCAGGCAGGACCCACAGCAGAGGGCCAGGAUUCUCCUUCUCGGGGCCCAGGUUACACCCAAGGAUUUCCCAGGAGGUGGGGAGGGGAGAUGGGGGUAAGGGCAUGUUUCAAAAGCACUUAAUGCUGGCUGCCCCUGCUCCCAGGACUCCUGCCAAUCACAGCUGAUUGUGGUGCUAGAGACCCCCACCCCUAGCUUGACCGUGUCCCCAUGGGCCACGUGAUCCUUUGCAUUUCCCCACAGCAGAGGGCAAGGAACCUGUGGAGCAAGCUGCCAAGCCCUUCUCUUGCUGCCUCCCUCUCCUAGGAGAUCUGCUUUAGCCAGCACAGGUCACGUGACCUUAACGCAGGAGCAACCGGACGAAAUCCCACAGCCUGGGUUAGCCGGGAGGUGAGACGAACACGGGUCGUCAUGUACCAGGUCAGCCUGGCAGUGCCUGGCUAACAGCACCCUGCUCAUA